rnacentral:rRNA from 1 species
AAUCUUCGACAAUGGACGAAAGUCUGAUGGAGCAACGCCGCGUGAGUGAAGAAGGUUUNAGGAACNUNAAACUCCGUUGUAAGGGNCAAACAAGUACAGUAGUAAGUGGCUGUACCUUGACGGUACCUUAUUAGAAAGCCACGGCUACUGACGUGCCAGCAGCCGCGGUAAUAAGUAGGUGGCAAGCGUUGUCCGGAAUUAUUGGGCCUAAAGCGCGCGCAGGCGGUCCUUUAAGUCUGAUGUGAAAGCCCUCGGCUCAACCGUGGAGGGUCAUUGGAAACUGGAGGACUUGAGUGCAGAAGAGGAAAGUGGAAUUCCAAGUGUAGCGGUGAAAUGCGUAGAGAUUUGGAGGAACACCAGUGGCGAAGGCGACUUUCUGGUCUGUAACUGACGCUGAGGCGCGAAAGCGUGGGGAGCAAACAGG